rnacentral:rRNA from 1 species
CCUACGGGUGGCUGCAGUGGGGAAUAUUGCGCAAUGGGGGAAACCCUGACGCAGCAACGCCGCGUGAGUGAUGAAGGCCCUCGGGUCGUAAAGCUCUGUCGGCAGGAACGAUGGGCUUACUGGCUAACAUCCAGUAGGCUUGACGGUACCUGCAAAGGAAGCACCGGCUAACUCUGUGCCAGCAGCCGCGGUAAGACAGAGGGUGCAAGCGUUGUUCGGAAUUAUUGGGCGUAAAGGGCGCGUAGGCGGUCUGUUAAGUCGAAUGUGAAAGCCCA